AAGAUUAAAUAAAUUUAGUGGUUUAAUUAUUACAUUGAUGUUAUUAUUCAAUAUUCAAAAGUCUUUUGUUGAUUGAAUUAUUAUUAAGAAUUAUUAUUCAUAUAAAACAGAAAUGGAAAUUAGAUGAUAGAAAAGAAUAAGUCUCAAUAGGCGUACCUUUUGUAUCAGGGCUUAAGGAUUAAAUAAUUGAAUCAAUUAUCCCGAAUUCAAAAGAUCUUCCAUUAACAAUAUUCUUAGUGUUUAAUUAUUAAACUUUAUGUAUUGGAUGAUGCUACAAGUUAAUCGGUUUUGAUGAUAUCUGGUUCUUUGAUAAUUGGUAUAAUCAAAUUGGUUGAUAGCUUGACCCUAAUUAAUUAGGGAACUAUUAUUAAUCAAUAGUUCAUUGGGGAUAAGCUCAUUGAAUAUAAAUUUUUACUCAUUUAUUCUAAAAGUUAAAUAAAUAGAAUAUCUAAUUGAUUUAUUAUUAAAAAUUAUGAUUAUAAAAGAAUGACCUAAAACUUUAUUGGAUUAAUUAAAAUCUUAUGAUUAGUAAUUGAUGGUUAUAUAUAAUAAAGGAACUCGGCAAAUUAGGUUUCCGCCUGUUUAAUAAAAACAUCGCCUUUUAAUAGUAUAAAAGGUUAAUUCUGCUCAAUGCCUCUAGUAAAUAGCUGCAGUAUCUUAACUGUACUAAGGUAGCAUAAUAAUUUGGCCUUUAAUUGGGGUCUGGAAUGAAUGAAUUCACGAGAGACUAACUGUCUCUACUGUAAUAAAUGAAUUUUAUUUUUAAGUAAAAAAGCUUAAUUGAGAUGGAGGGACGACAAGACCCUAUAGAUCUUUACUACUCAAUAUAAACUAAAUGUAUUGGGAAGGUUGUCUGGGAUGGACCUAAAAAACGCUUAACUUUAGAUAGUCUAACAAUCAAUCAUUUUAAUUAAAUGAUCCUCUUAGAGAUAAAAAGAGAAAGUUACCUUAGGGAUAACAGCACAAUUAUCCCUAUUUAGACCAUUUAAAUAGUGAAGGUUGUGACCUCGAUGUUGAAUUAAGUUUACUGAUAAAUGUAGAAAGUUAUAAAGUUAGUCUGCUCGACUAUUUAAUACUUACAUGAUUUGAGUUUAGACCGACGUGAGUCAGGUCAGAUUCUAUCUUCCAUCAUUACUCCAUAUUUGUACGAAAGGACUCUAUGGGGGUUUAAUAUAAACUUUGGGGUUUUAGUUUAUUUAAAAAUUUACUCUUUGCAAGAGUGAGAUCUAUUAAGAAGCCUU
rnacentral:rRNA from 1 species